AUUGAACGCUGGCGGCAGGCUUAACACAUGCAAGUCGAGCGGAGAUGAGGUGCUUGCACCUUAUCUUAGCGGCGGACGGGUGAGUAAUGCUUAGGAAUCUGUCUAUUAGUGGGGGACAACAUUCCGAAAGGAAUGCUAAUACCGCAUAAGUUCUACGGGAGAAAGAAGAGGAUCUUCGGACCUUGAGCUCAUAGAUGAGCCUAAGUCGGAUUAGCUAGUUGGUGGGGUAAAGGCCUACCAAGGCGACGAUCUGUAGAGGGUCUGAGAGGAUGAUCCGCCACUCUGGGAGUGAGACACGGCUCAGACUCCUACGGGAGGCAGCAGUGGGGGAUAUUGGACGAUAGGGGGAACCCUGAUCCAGCCAUGCCGCGUGUGGGAAGAAGGCCUUAUGGUUGUAAAGCACUUUAAGCGAGGAGGGGUCUACUGAGACUAAUACUCUUGGAUAGUGGACGUUACUCGCAGAAUAAGCACCGGCUAACUCUGUGCCAGCCGCCGCGGUAAUAC
rnacentral:rRNA from 1 species